rnacentral:rRNA from 1 species
ACUCCUACGCGAGGCAGCAGUGGGGAAUUUUGGACAAUGGGCGCAAGCCUGAUCCAGCCAUGCCGCGUGCGGGAAGAAGGCCUUCGGGUUGUAAACCGCUUUUGUCAGGGAAGAAAAGGUUCUGGCUAAUACCUGGGACUCAUGACGGUACCUGAAGAAUAAGCACCGGCUAACUACGUGCCAGCAGCCGCGGUAAUACGUAGGGUGCAAGCGUUAAUCGGAAUUACUGGGCGUAAAGCGUGCGCAGGCGGUUAUGCAAGACAGAGGUGAAAUCCCCGGGCUCAACCUGGGAACUGCCUUUGUGACUGCAUGGCUAGAGUACGGUAGAGGGGGAUGGAAUUCCGCGUGUAGCAGUGAAAUGCGUAGAUAUGCGGAGGAACACCGAUGGCGAAGGCAAUCCCCUGGACCUGUACUGACGCUCAUGCACGAAAGCGUGGGGAGCAAACAGGAUUAGAUACCCCUGUAGUCCCAUGAU